UGACUGAGUCGAUGUGGCGGAUGAGCUAAGGCUUGGUGGCUUGGAUCGGGUGACACAUUGGAGUAGGUAGGCAUUGGUCGAACUCGAGUAACUACAAAGAAGGUCUGACCAUCUGAGAAUAAGGUCGGGGUUGUCCAGUGGGAGACCCUCCGAUGGUUAAUUCAGUAGCAGUCAGAGAGGGAGAACAAUAGAAGAAGAAGGU
rnacentral:lncRNA from 1 species